rnacentral:rRNA from 1 species
CCUACGUGAUGCAGCAGUGAGGAAUAUUGGUCAAUGGACGAGAGUCUGAACCAGCCAAGUAGCGUGAAGGAUGACUGCCCUAUGGGUUGUAAACUUCUUUUAUAUGGGAAUAAACUGUUCCACGUGUGGGAUUUUGUAUGUACCAUAUGAAUAAGGAUCGGCUAACUCAGUGCCAGCAGCAGCGGUAAUACGGAGGAUCCGAGCGUUAUCCGGAUUUAUUGGGUUUAACGGGAGCGUAGAUGGGUUGUUAAGUCAGUUGUGAAAGUUUGCGGCUCAAACGUAAAAUUGCAAUUGAUACUGGCAGUCUUGAGUACAGUUGAGGGAAGUGGAAUUCGUGGUGUAGCGGUGAAAUGCUUAGAUAUCACGAAGAACCCCGAUUGCGAAGGCAGCUUACUAAACUGUGACUGACAUUGAUGCUCGAAAGUAUGGGUAUCAAACAGGAUUAGAUACCCCGGUAGUC